rnacentral:tRNA from 3 species
GCCCCCGUAGCUCAGUGGAUAGAGCGCAGGCCUCCGAAGCCUGAAGCAGCGGUUCGAGUCCGCUCGGGGGUA